UACGUAGGGUGCAAGCGUUGUCCGGAAUUAUUGGGCGUAAAAGAGCUCGUAGGCGGUCUGUCGCGUCUGCUGUGAAAACUCGGGGCUUAACCCCGGGCCUGCAGUGGGUACGGGCAGACUAGAGUGCGGUAGGGGAGAUUGGAAUUCCUGGUGUAGCGGUGGAAUGCGCAGAUAUCAGGAGGAACACCAAUGGCGAAGGCAGAUCUCUGGGCCGUAACUGACGCUGAGGAGCGAAAGCGUGGGGAGCAAACAGG
rnacentral:rRNA from 1 species